rnacentral:rRNA from 1 species
AUAGGUUUGGUCCUGGCCUUUCUAUUAGUUAUUAAUAAAUUUACACAUGCAAGAAUCCCCGCCCCUGUGAAAAUGCCCUUAAACCAUGAUCUGGUGCAAAGGAGCUGGUAUCAGGCACACUAGGAAGUAGCCCAUGACACCUUGCUAAGCCACACCCCCACGGGAAACAGCAGUGACAAAAAUUAAGCAAUAGAUGAAAGUCUGACUAAGUUAUAUUAUCUGGUCCUGGUAAAUCUCGUGCCAGCCACCGCGGUCAUACGAUUAGGUCAAACUAAUAGACAACCGGCGUAAAGUGUGUUUUAGAAUUUACACCUGAAUAGAGUCAAACUCUGACUAGGCUGUAAAAAGUCUCAGUCACUGUAAGAUACACAACGAAAGUAACUUUAAGAGCUCUGACUACACGGCGUAAAGUGUGUUUUAGAAUUUACACCUGAAUAGAGUCAAACUCUGACUAGGCUGUAAAAAGUCUCAGUCACUGUAAGAUACACAACGAAAGUAACUUUAAGAGCUCUGACUACACUUGGCGGUGCCUUAUAUCCCUCUAGAGGAGCCUGUUCUAUAAUCGAUAAACCCCGAUAUACCCCACCAAUCCUUGCUAAAUCAGCCUAUAUACCGCCAUCUUCAGCAAACCCUAAAAAGGAGACAUAGUAAGCACAAACAUUAACAUAAAAACGUUAGGUCAAGGUGUAGCCUAUGGGUUGGAAAGCAAUGGGCUACAUUUUCCCACACGGAAAAAACCACGAAAACUCAUGUGAAAUCAUUAGUUAAAGGUGGAUUUAGUAGUAAAUUAAGAAUAGAGUGCUUAAUUGAAUAAGGCCAUGAGGCACGCACACACCGCCCGUCACCCUCCUCAAGCAAUAAUUAUUAAUCAUUUUAUAAAACUUUUAACACCACUUGCAAGAGGAGAUAAGUCGUAACAAGGUAAGUGUACUGGAAAGUGCACUUGGAUAACA